AAAGUAAGCUAUUUCAAACCAUUGGAAAAGGUGCGGAGAAAAUGAAACAGAGCGCUAGAAAGGUUUUUGCCAACUUUGGGGAUGUGUUCGUACAGGCACAUAGAUAUUGAGGGCAGUUGCACAGAUUUCUAUUGGAGCGAUGCAAUUCAUUAGUCAGACAUAGUAUUGGAUAUAUUUAAUGUGGGUAUUCAGUCUAUGGUGGAGAUUUGGGGGCCACCAAGUUUGGUUGCCCAGAAGCACGGUGGCGUUGGGAUAUAACUUUGUUUUUUUGUAUAUAUUUAUGGCUUCUGGCUUUAAUGGGCAGAGCCUGGAAAUGGUUAAUGGUUUAUUUAGUUUCGGUUAAUAGUUAUGGUAAAUUAUUUAUUAUUAUUAUUAUUAUUAUGGAUGUUGAAAUUGGUUU